UACGGAGGGGGCUAGCGUUGUUCGGAAUUACUGGGCGUAAAGCACACGUAGGCGGAUCAGUCAGUUAGAGGUGAAAGCCCAGGGCUCAACCCUGGAACUGCCUUUAAUACUGCUGGUCUGGAGUCCGAGAGAGGUGAGUGGAAUUCCCAGUGUAGAGGUGAAAUUCGUAGAUAUUGGGAAGAACACCAGUGGCGAAGGCGGCUCACUGGCUCGUAACUGACGCUCAUGCACGACAGCGUGGGGAUCAAACAGG
rnacentral:rRNA from 1 species